GAUGAAGAACGCAGCGAAAUGCGAUAAGUAAUGUGAAUUGCAGAAUUCAGUGAAUCAUCGAAUCUUUGAACGCACAUUGCGCCCCUUGGUAUUCCGAGGGGCAUGCCUGUUCGAGCGUCAUUAUAACCCCUCAAGCUCAGCUUGGUGUUGGGGCCUGCUGCACUGGCAGCCCUUAAAAUCAGUGGCGGCGCCAUCUGGCUCUAAGCGUAGUAAUUCUUCUCGCUAUGGAGUCCUGGUGGAUGCUUGCCAUCAACCCCCAAUUUUUCUAUGGUUGACCUCGGAUCAGGCAGGGAUACCCGCUGAACUUAAGCAUAUCAAUAAGCGGAGGA
rnacentral:misc_RNA from 1 species